AGCCGGGGCAACCUGGUGAGUAAAGUGGCGUACGGGUGAGUAACACGUGGGUGAUCUACCCUCUGGUGGGGAAUAACCCUGGGAAACCGGGGCUAAUACCGCAUAAGCCGUCUUCCGUCAAGGGAAGCCGGGAAAGUCGCAAGACGCCGGAGGAGGAGCCCGCGGCCGAUUAGCUAGUUGGUGAGGUAACGGCCCACCAAGGCUAUGAUCGGUAGCCGGCCUGAGAGGGCACACGGCCACACUGGCACUGAAACACGGGCCAGACUCCUACGGGAGGCAGCAGUGGGGAAUCUUGCACAAUGGGGGCAACCCUGAUGCAGCGACGCCGCGUGAGCGAUGAAGCCCUUCGGGGUGUAAAGCUCUUUCGGCAGGAACGAUAAUGACGGUACCUGCAAAAGAAGCUGCGGCUAACUACGUGCCAGCAGCCGCGGUAAUACGUAGGCAGCAAGCGUUGUUCGGAGUUACUGGGCGUAAAGAGUGUGUAGGCGGUCCUCUAAGUUCGGUGUGAAAUCUCCCGGCUCAACUGGGAGGGUGCGCCGGAAACUGGAGGGCUAGAGUAUGGGAGAGGAAAGCGGAAUUCCUGGUGUAGCGGUGAAAUGCGUAGAUAUCAGGAGGAACACCUGCGGUGUAGACGGCUUUCCGGACCAUGACUGACGCUGAGACACGAAAGCGUGGGUGGCAAACAGGAUUAGAUACCCUGGUAGUCCACGCCCUAAACGAUGCAUACUUGGUGUAGGCCGUUCAGUCGGUCUGUGCCGGAGCUAACGCGUUAAGUAUGCCGCCUGGGGAGUACGGUCGCAAGGCU
rnacentral:rRNA from 1 species